UAUUAGCUUUUGCAACUAACAUUUGUUACAGUCAUAUAAUUAAAUUUACAACAUAAACUUCAAGCCAAGUUGAAAAAUGUGUACAAUAUUUAAAUACCAAAGUCAUAUUUUAGUCCAAAAAAUAAAACCGACAACAUAAUUAAAUUAACUCAUUAUCGCCUCAUAAAUUUUUUUAUUUUAAUUGGAGUUAAUGCCAAAUCUAUUUUUGUAAACCUUAUCAAACGAGACCUAGAAUUCACCACGCUGACCGUAAACGGGGAUCCACUGCUAAGCCUCACGAUAACAUCCUCACAAUCAUAUAAAAGCGUUCAUUUCCACGUUCAAAUCAUCCGUCUCUUGAACUUCUUCAAGCAACAACCACAACCACCAACCAAAAUGGCCAAACUGACUUUCGUUUUUGCUUUAGUAGCUGCCUUAUUCAUCAUUUCUGCCACAGCUCAGCAGUACGACCAGUACGAAGGAGAAGGUGUUGUCGAAGAGGUUAAACAACGCGCUGAACGUGGGUUCUUCUGCAAUCCUGGUCAGUGCUAUGGCUACUGCAGACGUAAUGGUCACAGGCGAGCCUCUUGCUCUGGAGAUGAAUGUGUUUGUCUCUAAGAAGAACCCAGAAUGAUAUAUUUACUUUGUUUUAAUAUUUAUUUGUUGAAAUAUAUUUCUACACUGAA